AGUGAACGCUGGCGGUAGGCCUAACACAUGCAAGUCGAACGGCAGCACAGUAAGAGCUUGCUCUUACGGGUGGCGAGUGGCGGACGGGUGGGGAAUACAUCGGAAUCUACUUUUUCGUGGGGGAUAACGUAGGGAAACUUACGCUAAUACCGCAUACGACCUACGGGUGAAAGCAGGGGAUCUUCGGACCUUGCGCGAUUGAAUGAGCCGAUGUCGGAUUAGCUAGUUGGCGGGGUAAAGGCCCACCAAGGCGACGAUCCGUAGCUGGUCUGAGAGGAUGAUCAGCCACACUGGAGCUGAGACACGGUCCAGACUUCUACGGGAGGCAGCAGUGGGGAAUAUUGGACAAUGGGCGCAAGCCUGAUCCAGCCAUACCGCGUGGGUGAAGAAGGCCUUCGGGUUGUAAAGCCCUUUUGUUGGGAAAGAAAAGCAGCAGGUUAAUACCCCGCUGUUCUGACGGUACCCAAAGAAUAAGCACCGGCUAACUUCGUG
rnacentral:rRNA from 1 species